CCAGUCAGUCGCUGGUGGUGGUGGUGGCUACUUCCCUUCAGGAAGCCCGGUCUCCGCCCCCUCCUCCCACCCCGUCUGCUCCGCGGCGGAGGCGGCGGUGGCGGCAGCGGUUGUCCCUGCCUCUCCGCCACCUCCACCUCAGCCUAUCCCCCGACCGGUGGCGUUGGCGGGGAGGGGGGCCGUAGUUGUAGACGGCCGCCCCUGCCUCAGAGAAGUUGAAGUUGGAGUGGGAGAGAGGCGGCCAGGUCGAGGCCAUGGAUCUGGAGUGUCAGGGAGAGGGAAGGGGGUUGAGGAGGACACCCCGAGAUCAAGGGGACAGAGACACGGAGAGAAAAGGCUCCAGACGUGGAAGGGCGUAGACCUGCGCUGGGCGAAAUUCAGCAUCCUACAAAGUAGAGCCCUCACGCGGAGGGAGAAGUGAAAUUUGGCCACAGUAGGAAGUAAACACGGGAGCUUCAAGUUGCGGAGGCCCUGGAGGAAGGGAAGAGGGGGUGAGGUAUUUGAGGGAUUACUUUGCAGAGUUUUCCUUAGCUUUUGAGGAUAACACCCUGUAAAACAAGCUUCUAAGAUUUACGGGCCUAUUGUAGUAGUCGUCUGAAUUUAAAUUUGUAUCUACCAGAGUCAAAGAUAAUACAGCAGGACAUCAGAGAGGCAAAAACAGCUUUUAUUCAGUAACUGCAGUAGGGAAAGAGCUGAGCUCCAUUCCGAUUUGCGCAGAGGUGACGGGGUUUUAGAGGGAAAAUGAAGGAAGGGGUUCAGUAGAGUCAGGAAAGCGCAAAAUUACCUAGGUUUGGGCAGUGUCCGUGCACUUAGGCGAGCUGUGUCAUCUUGUGGAAGUGAGGAUUCACUUUUCCCACAGACUGGGAGACCCCAGGCCCUGCCUUUUCUGAUAAUUACACUUUAAAAGGAUGGCUUUCAGAUCUUUGAGAAAGACAUUCCUGAGUUGUGGGGGGUACACAUAUAUCUCAAAGGGACAGAGGAAGAAUUAACAAACAAUUGUAAACCCUUUUUAGUAACUACUCUAAAAAAGAGAGGUCAGGGCCUUAUAUUCAGGUGUUGGCUAGAACAAACAAUAAAUGCCUUUUGACAGCCCUGAGCUUUCCCA
rnacentral:lncRNA from 1 species